AUGUACCACUUCACACGCUGCGGUUCUGAGCCGCCGUCCGCACCCGCCUGACAGCUGCUCGCUAUGUUUUGAGCC
rnacentral:sRNA from 1 species